GCAAUUUUCCUAUCGGUAUUCACGACAGUGCGGUGUUAUGUGUUAUCGCUGCGCGGGGCCUUACAGUGAGUGGUGAGAUAUGCACCGAGGUGAUCAGAUUACGGCCGGGAUUGGAACUGAUUUGGAUUUCACCUGUCGUCGUCGCAUUUGGAUACGAGCAGACAGGCUGACAGAGGUCGUGUCGUGUUCUUCUGGUGAGAAAACCGAUUUGCGCUAAUCUGGUUUGUGCUGUACUGUGUUGUGAAGGAUUAGUCAUCGGCUUGCGGUUGCGAUGGGAGGCUGCUGCAGUAGUUCCGACUCACAGGACAUCACGGUACCGGAUCGUCCCGGUCUGCCAGAGGAGGCACCGAGCGGUAUUCCCUACGGGCUGAGCGAUACGAACGAUGGCGGCGGAGGAGCUACCGGUCACAGUGCGAACGGUUGAUGAUAACCGCGGGUGCCGGUGUCUUGAUUUCGAUUUACCUAUUAACUGUAUUUACCGUUGAAAACUUCGUUAGACUAAUCA